UACAGAGGGUGCGAGCGUUAAUCGGAAUUACUGGGCGUAAAGCGAGCGUAGGUGGCUUGAUAAGUCAGAUGUGAAAGCCCCGGGCUUAACCUGGGAACGGCAUCUGAUACUGUUAGGCUAGAGUAGGUGAGAGGAAGGUAGAAUUCCAGGUGUAGCGGUGAAAUGCGUAGAGAUCUGGAGGAAUACCGAUGGCGAAGGCAGCCUUCUGGCAUCAUACUGACACUGAGGUUCGAAAGCGU
rnacentral:rRNA from 1 species